rnacentral:rRNA from 1 species
UACAGAGGUCCCAAGCGUUGUUCGGAUUCAUUGGGCGUAAAGGGUGCGUAGGCGGCGCGGUAAGUCGGGUGUGAAUCUCGGGGCUUAACUCCGAAACUGCAUUCGAUACUGCCGUGCUUGAGGACUGGAGAGGAGACUGGAAUUUACGGUGUAGCGGUGAAAUGCGUAGAUAUCGUAAGGAAGACCAGUGGCGAAGGCGGGUCUCUGGACAGUUCCUGACGCUGAGGCACGAAGGCCAGGGGAGCAAACGGG